rnacentral:rRNA from 1 species
AUUGAACGCUGGCGGCAUGCUUUACACAUGCAAGUCGAACGGUAACAGGCCGCAAGGUGCUGACGAGUGGCGCACGGGUGAGUAAUGCAUCGGAACGUGCCCAGUCGUGGGGGAUAACUACUCGAAAGAGUAGCUAAUACCGCAUACGAUCUAUGGAUGAAAGCGGGGGACCGUAAGGCCUCGCGCGAUUGGAGCGGCCGAUGUCAGAUUAGGUAGUUGGUGGGGUAAAGGCUCACCAAGCCAACGAUCUGUAGCCGGUCUGAGAGGACGACCAGCCACACUGGGACUGAGACACGGCCCAGACUCCUACGGGAGGCAGCAGUGGGGAAUUUUGGACAAUGGGCGCAAGCCUGAUCCAGCAAUGCCGCGUGCAGGAAGAAGGCCUUCGGGUUGUAAACUGCUUUUGUACGGAACGAAACGGCUCUGGUUAAUACCCGGGGCUAAUGACGGUACCGUAAGAAUAAGCACCGGCUAACUACGUG